UUGCUUUGACUGCGAAACUAAUUUAAGAUUUAACCAAUCAGCUGCGAAUUGAACACAGGCUUUUCGGUCUUGGGUCGUGGGUCGUGGGUCGUGGGUCCUCAAAUAAUUUGCGCAUCUAAUUGCUUGGUUUCACUACGCUUCACUUCAGAGUUCAGAGCUUCUUUGCUCUGCAUAUAUAGAAAUUCGGUCAUAUGUACGAGAGAGUGAGCGGGGAACAGAGAAAUAGAGUGACAAUGGUGAGGAUAUUAUCCAUGGCGUCGUCGAUUAAACCUUCGCUGUCCUGAUUUAGGUCUGCGGCUGCUGCAGGGCUUCCUUCUCGCUUCGCUGUACCCUUCGGUUCGUGUUUCCAGAAUUCUUGUCGCCCUCUCAGCUUAUUGCAUCUUGGCAGUGCUGAAGUGCUAGAGCAUAAGCUAAGGAAGUAUAUGAGCAGAUUCCAGUACCAAGAUUGGCUAAAAAUAACGAUGCAUUACUGCUUUCUGCUACAUACAAAAACACAAUAUAAAGGCAAAACUGAAUUAGAUACCAUCAGUUUGCUGUUGAUUCAUAGAAGACGUGGAUGCAGCAGCUUUCCUUCCUCUCCUCUUUGGAUAAGCUUCUCUUUGUUUAGCUCUAUGAGCUUCUUUUUCUUCCACUGAUAAGGAAGCAUAUUUUUCUCUUAAUCUUCGGUUGCGAACAAUGUUCUUAUUCGUUGAAUGUGUAAGUGCAUCAGUUGAAGCCAUGAUUUACAGUUUAUAGCAUGAAUAAAGGAAGCAUAAACGAAGCAAAA